rnacentral:misc_RNA from 1 species
CACUUCCUGCAUUUCAAGAAACCUAUUUCUUGGAAUUCUCGAAAAUUUUCUUCCUCACCUUCGUUCUUUCUCUCUUGUCAGCUACCUUAUUCCUUUUCCUUUUAUCAAAUUCUUCUCAAUUUUUCUAUUUCCAAUUUCUGCUCUAUUAGGGUUUCAAAUUCAAGACCUUUUUUUUGGGUUCCAUUGACAAAUUCCAGUUGAUUUUAUUUUCCUACAUUUCUUCGCUAAUUUUCUUCCUCAGUUUUCUUGGAGAUAAAUCUUCCGUUCUAUUUUCUAUCAUAACCCAUACCUAGCCCUUUUACUAUCAGAAAAUGGAAAUACAACCUGGGCAACAAGAUAUCAAUUUGCGUAUACUCGAACGUUGGGAAAACUUUAAAAGACAAGAAAAUUUUCUGGAAAAAUUGGAUCGGAGAUGGGAAACAUUUCAGAAGCUGAUUCAAAAUGUGACAACCACAAACCAUGGAAUUGAGAGUUCUUGGAGUAAUGGCAGUGAAUCAGGAGAGUGAGACCACGGAGGUCUCCAUUGACGACAAGGUGAUUUUAAACUCAUUACCCGAGAAUUCUUGGAGUAAUGGCAAUGAGAGGGGAUUACUGAAUAAAAAAGAAGAGACAUGAGAGUUUGAUGUUAAGGAGGAAAAUGACUUUAUUGAUGUGCAGCAUUUCUU